GACAGACAGUUAAAGUGAAUUAUAUCCUGGUUCAGGUCCCUCAGAAAACAGCCAGACUGGAUGGCAGGAUCCACCAUUCCGGAGCAAAGCUGUCUGUUCACAUCCAUGGCAAAAUCCUGAGCUAAAUGCAGAAUCUGGAACAGAGUUCUCCUCAAAACAGCUCAGCAUGUGCUUCAAGUUAAAUCCACGGCCUCCCUUGAAUCCUUGGGGCUGUGCUGAUGGUUCAGCAGUGUUGAAGCACCAUCCCAAAUCAAGUGCAUCUGCAACUUCAAUGAGUAGUGGGAACGAAGCAAAUUGUUGCUGAAAUGUUUGGCUUUCUGCACCUCCAGAAGUGUGAAGGCUUGUACAGGGAGCUGAGCAAAACACACUCACUUGAAAGCUUUCC
rnacentral:lncRNA from 12 species